rnacentral:rRNA from 1 species
GGUUAAGCGACUAAGCGUACACGGUGGAUGCCCUGGCAGUCAGAGGCGAUGAAGGACGUGCUAAUCUGCGAAAAGCGUCGGUAAGGUGAUAUGAACCGUUAUAGCCGGCGAUGUCCGAAUGGGGAAACCCAGUGCAAUUCGUUGCACUAUCGUUAACUGAAUACAUAGGUUAACGAGGCGAACCGGGGGAACUGAAACAUCUAAGUACCCCGAGGAAAAGAAAUCAACCGAGAUUCCCCCAGUAGCGGCGAGCGAACGGGGAGCAGCCCAGAGUCUGAAUCAGCUUGUGUGUUAGUGGAACGGUCUGGAAAGUCCGACGGUACAGGGUGAUAGUCCCGUACACCAAAAUGCACAGGCUGUGAACUCGAAGAGUAGGGCGGGACACGUGGUAUCCUGUCUGAAUAUGGGGGGACCAUCCUCCAAGGCUAAAUACUCCUGACUGACCGAUAGUGAACCAGUACCGUGAGGGAAAGGCGAAAAGAACCCCGGCGAGGGGAGUGAAAAAGAACCUGAAACCGUGUACGUACAAGCAGUGGGAGCACCUUCGGGUGUGACUGCGUACCUUUUGUAUAAUGGGUCAGCGACUUAUAUUCUGUAGCAAGGUUAACCGUAUAGGGGAGCCGCAGGGAAACCGAGUCUUAACUGGGCGUUAAGUUGCAGGGUAUAGACCCGAAACCCGGUGAUCUAGCCAUGGGCAGGUUGAAGGUUGGGUAACACUAACUGGAGGACCGAACCGACUAAUGUUGAAAAAUUAGCGGAUGACUUGUGGCUGGGGGUGAAAGGCCAAUCAAACCGGGAGAUAGCUGGUUCUCCCCGAAAGCUAUUUAGGUAGCGCCUCGUGAACUCAUCUUCGGGGGUAGAGCACUGUUUCGGCUAGGGGGUCAUCCCGACUUACCAACCCGAUGCAAACUACGAAUACCGAAGAAUGUUAUCACGGGAGACACACGGCGGGUGCUAACGUCCGUCGUGAAGAGGGAAACAACCCAGACCGCCAGCUAAGGUCCCAAAGUCAUGGUUAAGUGGGAAACGAUGUGGGAAGGCACAGACAGCCAGGAUGUUGGCUUAGAAGCAGCCAUCAUUUAAAGAAAGCGUAAUAGCUCACUGGUCGAGUCGGCCUGCGCGGAAGAUGUAACGGGGCUAAACCAUGCACCGAAGCUGCGGCAGCGACACUAUGUGUUGUUGGGUAGGGGAGCGUUCUGUAAGCCUGUGAAGGUGACCUGUGAGGGUUGCUGGAGGUAUCAGAAGUGCGAAUGCUGACAUAAGUAACGAUAAAGCGGGUGAAAAGCCCGCUCGCCGGAAGACCAAGGGUUCCUGUCCAACGUUAAUCGGGGCAGGGUGAGUCGACCCCUAAGGCGAGGCCGAAAGGCGUAGUCGAUGGGAAACAGGUUAAUAUUCCUGUACUUGGUGUUACUGCGAAGGGGGGACGGAGAAGGCUAUGUUAGCCGGGCGACGGUUGUCCCGGUUUAAGCAUGUAGGCUGAUUGUCCAGGCAAAUCCGGAUAAUCAAGGCUGAGGUGUGAUGACGAGGCACUACGGUGCUGAAGUAACAAAUGCCCUGCUUCCAGGAAAAGCCUCUAAGCAUCAGGUAACAUCAAAUCGUACCCCAAACCGACACAGGUGGUCAGGUAGAGAAUACCAAGGCGCUUGAGAGAACUCGGGUGAAGGAACUAGGCAAAAUGGUGCCGUAACUUCGGGAGAAGGCACGCUGGUGUGUAGGUGAAGCCCCUGCGGGUGGAGCUGAGACCAGUCGAAGAUACCAGCUGGCUGCAACUGUUUAUUAAAAACACAGCACUGUGCAAACACGAAAGUGGACGUAUACGGUGUGACGCCUGCCCGGUGCCGGAAGGUUAAUUGAUGGGGUUAUCCGUAAGGAGAAGCUCUUGAUCGAAGCCCCGGUAAACGGCGGCCGUAACUAUAACGGUCCUAAGGUAGCGAAAUUCCUUGUCGGGUAAGUUCCGACCUGCACGAAUGGCGUAAUGAUGGCCAGGCUGUCUCCACCCGAGACUCAGUGAAAUUGAACUCGCUGUGAAGAUGCAGUGUACCCGCGGCAAGACGGAAAGACCCCGUGAACCUUUACUAUAGCUUGACACUGAACAUUGAGCCUUGAUGUGUAGGAUAGGUGGGAGGCUUUGAAGCGUGGACGCCAGUCUGCGUGGAGCCAACCUUGAAAUACCACCCUUUAAUGUUUGAUGUUCUAACGUUGGCCCCUUACCGGGGUUGCGGACAGUGUCUGGUGGGUAGUUUGACUGGGGCGGUCUCCUCCCAAAGCGUAACGGAGGAGCACGAAGGUUAGCUAAUCCUGGUCGGACAUCAGGAGGUUAGUGCAAUGGCAUAAGCUAGCUUGACUGCGAGCGUGACGGCGCGAGCAGGUGCGAAAGCAGGUCAUAGUGAUCCGGUGGUUCUGAAUGGAAGGGCCAUCGCUCAACGGAUAAAAGGUACUCCGGGGAUAACAGGCUGAUACCGCCCAAGAGUUCAUAUCGACGGCGGUGUUUGGCACCUCGAUGUCGGCUCAUCACAUCCUGGGGCUGAAGUAGGUCCCAAGGGUAUGGCUGUUCGCCAUUUAAAGUGGUACGCGAGCUGGGUUUAGAACGUCGUGAGACAGUUCGGUCCCUAUCUGCCGUGGGCGCUGGAGAAUUGAGGGGGGCUGCUCCUAGUACGAGAGGACCGGAGUGGACGCAUCACUGGUGUUCGGGUUGUCAUGCCAAUGGCACUGCCCGGUAGCUAAAUGCGGAAGAGAUAAGUGCUGAAAGCAUCUAAGCACGAAACUUGCCCCGAGAUGAGUUCUCCCUGAGACUUUAAGUCUCCUGAAGGAACGUUGAAGACGACGACGUUGAUAGGCCGGGUGUGUAAGCGCAGCGAUGCGUUGAGCUAACCGGUACUAAUGAACCGUGAGGCUUAACCUU